GACGUAGGGCGCGAGCGUUGUCCGGAUUUAUUGGGCGUAAAGAGCUCGUAGGCGGCUCAUUGCGUCAACCGUGAAAACCAGCAGCUCAACUGUUGGCUUGCGGUUGAUACUGGGUGGGCUGGAGUUCGGUAGGGGAGACUGGAAUUCCUGGUGUAGCGGUGAAAUGCGCAGAUAUCAGGAGGAACACCGGUGGCGAAGGCGGGUCUCUGGGCCGAUACUGACGCUGGAGGAGCGAAA
rnacentral:rRNA from 1 species